rnacentral:misc_RNA from 1 species
AAUGGUUUAGUGAGGCCUCCUGACUGGCGCCGAUGCUCUGGCAACAGAGCGCCGGAUGCCGGAAAGUUGGUCAAACUUGAUCAUUUAGAGGAAGUAAAAGUCGUAACAAGGUUUCCGUAGGUGAACCUGCGGAAGGAUCAUUACCGAUAGUAGGUCCAAGAACGACACUCGCUCCGUCGUUUGCCCUGUGAACUGUACUCAAUCAUCAUUUAGGGGUCGGCCGGCCAGGCCGUUAAAUGGCGAUCGGACCAGGAAUGGGCCGACUCGCCGGCCCCGCCUGUGUUUUUUAAGAACAUGUACGUGUCGAUGGUCUGAUUGUAUAUCUAUCGGUUCCCGAUAGGUAAAGAAAAAGAAAUAGAGUGAGACAACUUGUGGCGGUGGAUCUCUUGGCUCGCGCGUCGAUGAAGAACGCAGCCAGCUGCGAUAAGUAGUGUGAAUUGCAGAAUUCAGUGAAUCAUCGAAUCUUUGAACGCAAAUGGCGCUCUUGGGUUGUCCCAGGAGCAUGUCUGUCUGAGUGUCAUGAAAUGCAAAUCAUCGCAGCAUUGCUUGGGCUUUGCUUGCGGCGGCGUUGAGGCGUCACGGCCCCCAACUUUUUUAAAACGAGGCGGCCGUGUCCCUUGAAAGGCAGAGAGGAGACUCGCUGCUGUGCAAAAGCGGAGGCCAAAACUGUAUGAGACCUUCGCCAGGCACAAUGCGAUGCGAGUCGCCAAGGGCGAAACACACCAUUCUAUAUUGACCUCAGAUCAGGCAAGGCUACCCGCUGAAUUUAAGCAUAUUAAUAAGCGGAGGAAAAGAAACUAACAAGGAUUCCCU